rnacentral:rRNA from 1 species
UACCGCGGUUAUACGAGAGGCCCAAGUUGAUAAGCAUCGGCGUAAAGAGUGGUUAAGGUUAAGUAAACACUAAAGCUGAACGCUUACAAGGCUGUUAUACGCACCCGAAAGUAAGAAGUACAACCACGAAAGUGGCUUUAUUACACCUGAACCCACGAAAGCCAAGGCA